rnacentral:rRNA from 1 species
UACGUAGGGGGCAAGCGUUGUCCGGAAUCAUUGGGCGUAAAGAGCGUGUAGGCGGCCUGGUAAGUCCGCUGUGAAAGUCCAGGGCUCAACCCUGGAAUGCCGGUGGAAACUGUCAGGCUCGAGUCCGGAAGAGGCGAGUGGAAUUCCUGGUGUAGCGGUGAAAUGCGCAGAUAUCAGGAGGAACACCAAUGGCGAAGGCAAUCCCCUGGGCCGGCCCUGACGCUCAUGCACGAAAGCGUGGGGAGCAAACAGG